rnacentral:rRNA from 1 species
GAUGAACGCUAGCGAUAGGCCUAACACAUGCAAGUCGAGCGGGAUUCUCCUUCGGGAGAUGAGAGCGGCGCACGGGUGAGUAACACGUAUGCAACCUGCCUACUACAAGGGGAUAGCCCGUUGAAAGACGGAUUAAUACCCUAUAAUACAGGGGUCCCGCAUGGGAAUAUUUGUUAAAGAUUUAUCGGUAGUAGAUGGGCAUGCGUUCCAUUAGCUAGUUGGAGAGGUAACGGCUCACCAAGGCAACGAUGGAUAGGGGAACUGAGAGGUUUAUCCCCCACAUUGGAACUGAGACACGGUCCAAACUCCUACGGGAGGCAGCAGUGAGGAAUAUUGGUCAAUGGAGGCAACUCUGAACCAGCCAAGUCGCGUGAAGGAUGACUGCCCUACGGGUUGUAAACUUCUUUUGUAAGGGAAUAAAGUUUAGUACGUGUACUAAUUUGCAUGUACCUUACGAAUAAGCAUCGGCUAACUCCGUGCCAGCAGCCGCCGUAACAC